rnacentral:rRNA from 1 species
GACGAACGCUGGCGGCGUGCCUAAUACAUGCAAGUAGGACGCAGUUGCGAACGGGUGAGUAACGCGUAGGUAACUACCUAUUAGAGGGGGAUAACUAUUGGAAACGAUAGCUAAUACCGCAUACUAGUAGAUGGACCUUCGUUGUAUUAGGUAUUAGGUUGGGUAAUGGCCUACCUAGGCAACGAUACAUAGCCGACUUGAGAGGGUGAUCGGCCACACUUGGCCUUAGACACGGCCCAGACUCCUACGGUAGGCAGCAGUAGGGAAUCUUCGGAAAUGGGGGGAACCCUGACCGAGCAACGCCGCGGGAGUUAAGAAGGUUUUCGGAUCGUAAAGCUCUUUUGUUAAGGAAGCGGUACUUAACCAGAAAGGGACGGCUAACUACGUGCCAGCAGCCGCGGUAAUUC